AGCGAACGCUGGCGGCGUACUUAACACAUGCAAGUCGAACGAGGAGCUUCGGUGUAGCAAUACAUCGGAGCUUCUAGUGCGUACGGGUGAGUAACACGUGGGCAACCUGCCCUCGAGCCCGGGAUACCCUCUCGAAAGGAGGCUAAUACCGGAUACGUUCUCGGAUCGCAAGACCUGGGGAGGAAAGGUGGCGAAAGCUGCCGCUCUUGGAGGGGCUCGCGGCCUAU
rnacentral:rRNA from 1 species